GUCCGAAUGGGGAAACCCAGUGUGAUUCGUCACACUAUCGUUAACUGAAUACAUAGGUUAACGAGGCGAACCGGGGGAACUGAAACAUCUAAGUACCCCGAGGAAAAGAAAUCAACCGAGAUUCCCCCAGUAGCGGCGAGCGAACGGGGAGCAGCCCAGAGUCUGAAUCAGCUUGUGUGUUAGUGGAACGGUCUGGAAAGUCCGACGGUACAGGGUGAUAGUCCCGUACACCAAAAUGCACAGGUUGUGAACUCGAAGAGUAGGGCGGGACACGUGGUAUCCUGUCUGAAUAUGGGGGGACCAUCCUCCAAGGCUAAAUACUCCUGACUGACCGAUAGUGAACCAGUACCGUGAGGGAAAGGCGAAAAGAACCCCGGCGAGGGGAGUGAAAAAGAACCUGAAACCGUGUACGUACAAGCAGUGGGAGCACCUUCGGGUGUGACUGCGUACCUUUUGUAUAAUGGGUCAGCGACUUAUAUUCUGUAGCAAGGUUACAAGGUUA
rnacentral:rRNA from 1 species